AUAAAAGGCGAGGGGAGUGGAGCUAGCUAGGCGGAUCCAGAUCAGCUCCACCACCACACCGCUUGCUGCGCAUAAGCAAUAUCAUCUAGCACACCACCAUCACCAUGGAAUUUGCGACGCCCCUGAUUCCCAAGCUCGCCAAGCUGCUUCAGGAGGAGUACAACCCUGCACAAGAGCGUUAGGAAGGGCAUCGAGUUCCUCCACAGGGAGCUCGAGACCAUGCACGCCGCCCUCCGCAAAGUCGGCGAGGUGCCAAGAAAGCAGCUCGACGAGCUGCAAAAGGAACUGGACCUGGGAUAUCAGGGAGCUGUCCUACGACAUGGAGGACAUCGUCGACACCUUCUUGGUGGACGUUGAGGGUCCUGAUCCCCCAAGCAAAAGGGGCGCCAAAAAGAUCCUCAAGAAGAUGAUAAAGGAAGGUCAGCAAGGCCAUGGCUCGCCGUGAGGUCUCCCAAGAGAUCAGCGACAUCAAUGAGCGUGUCAAGGAGCUGGCCGAGCGACGCGACAGAUUUCAAUUACUAGUACAAGCUUGAUGCUAUUGCUCCUACCAAUAAAACCGCUUUUGACCCUCGCAUCACAGCAAUGUACACCAAGGUGACUGAGCUUGUCGGUAUUGGCGAGGCAAAGGAAGAAGUAAUCGCGAGGUUGACAAAGGGGGAUGCUGAUGAUCACAAGGAAAGGAUAGUAGUCUCUAUUGCUGGUUUUGGAGGAUUAGGCAAGACAACCCUUGCCAAAGCAGUGUAUGACGAGAUUAAAGACAGUUUGAUUGCACAUCUUUUGUUUCUGUGUCUCGCAAUCCUGACGGAAAGAAACUUCUCAAGGACAUCCUGUAUGAGCUUCACAAAGGAGAAAGACAUCCUGGUGCAAAUUUGGAUGAAAUAAGGCACCUCAUUGAUCUUGUCCGUGAUUUUCUCCGGAACAAGAGGUACCUCAUUGUUAUUGAUGAUAUAUGGGAUAAAGAACCAUGGGAUAAGGUAAUGGGGCUGGCUCUGAUGGAGAAUAAUAUGAGAAGUAGAAUAAUCACAACCACCCGUAUUAUUGGUGUUGCUGAGCAUGUCGGCGGUUGCUAUAGGCUCAAACCACUUUCUGAUGAGAGCUCUGAAAUAUUGUUCAAUGGAAGAAUAUUUGGAUCAAAAGAUAAAUGUCCUAGGCAAUUUUCUCAAGUAUCUAAAAAGAUAAUGAAGAAAUGUGGAGGUGUCCCAUUAGCUAUCGUCACCACAUCUAGUUUGCUAGCUAAUAAAUCAGAGGAUAUAAGGCUGUGGAAUGAUGUGUGUAGCUCAAUUGGUUCUGGACUCGGGAGGCAUCCUGGUAUGGAUGACAUGAGGAAAAUUCUGCUGCUCAGCUAUUAUGAUCUGCCUUCUCAUCUGAAGACAUGUUUCUUGUGCAUAAGCAUAUUUCCAUAAGACUAUAGGAUUAAAAAGGAUCGGUUGAUAUGGAGGUGAGUAGGUGAAGGUUUUGUCCAACUAGCAGCCGGAGGCCAAAGUUUCCUUGAGAUUGGAGAGAGUUACUUCAAUGAGCUUCUAAAUAGAAGCCUGAUCAGCCCGCGGACAUGGAUGAUGUGGACGGUACACCUCAUGCUUGCGUGUGCAUGAUACGGUAUUUCCUUGUCAGUAGAAGAAUGUUUCGUCACCACUGUAUUAGCAGGUGAUGGGAUGGAAAGCAAGGUUCGGUGGUUAUCUCUAUAUAACAAUAGUACUGCUUGGGCUACCACGAAGAUGCCAAAACUGAGGUCCCUUACCAUCUUCACACCUGAUGAUGCGGUAAUUGAUCCGACACCCUCCAUUUCACGUUAUCUUCUUUUGCGUGUAUUGGAUCUACGAGACUACGAACUUAAUGACCUUGCAAGCCUGGGGUUUGUCGGGAGCUUAUCUCACUGCGAUACCUAGGUGCAACUAGUACCGGUUUGCGGUUUCAUCCUCCUGAUCAGCUCCCCGUAGAGGUGGGGAAACUGCGGUUUCUGCAGACGCUGGAUUUAACUGGAACUAGAGUAAAAGAAUUGCCAUCGAUAGUUAUUAGAGGUCUAGGACAGUUGAUGUGCCUACGUGGUUCCUGGAUUGGUGAGGGAAACACAAGACUGCCAUAUGGGCUGAAGAAGCUGACCUCCCUUGCAGUGCUAGAGGAUGUAGUUGUAACGUCUGGACGCAUUGCUGAGCAGCUGGGCCAUCUGACCGAACUGAGGGUACUCAAAUUAUCCACAGAAGAGGCUGACAAAGAUGAAUGGACGGCGUGCAGUGAAUCUCUGUUGGAAUCCCUAGGCAAACUGACCAAAUGAAAGAUAUCUAGGCCUCUAAGUGGGUUUUGGUGUUUAGAUGACAAAACACAUAUGCGUUUAAUCUCGUUAUCUAGCAUGUGUGCAGGUGCUAAAAUUGAACAAGCAAAACAUAUGAUGAAAUAUGAUCCCUCAAAAGGAAAUGAAAAAGCGGUGGUUGAAAUUUACUCGAAGAGUAGACUUUUAUUUUAUUUUUAAGUAUAGAAACUCCGUACUAUCAAGAGAGACUUUGAUCUGCAGAUUUUUGACUUAGAACUAGUGCUCAACAGAACCCAUACGAAUAAUUGUGAGCUAAAAAACCACUUCAAAAUGAUAUUUUGAGAGUGUCUCUGCCAAAACCGGAGUCUUCGAGUCUAUGUCCGGAAUGUCCGGAGUAUCCGGAUACCCUUUCACCAACGGCAGAUCUCCAGGUCUCUGUUCGAAAUGUCCAGGGACAAUAUUUGAAGUAUCCGGGUACCCUUUCGCUAACGGCUAGUUUUUUGAGUGAGGGUAUAAAUACCUACAAUACCCCUUCAGCCAGCAGUCUCUUGCCUAUUUUUCGAGCUGAACAGCCUCAUAAGCUUUUCAAGAGCUCUCUCACUCUCUCUCUUUAUUUCUUGAGAGAUUCCUUUGAGGGAUUCAAGUGAGAGUGUUGCAAGAGAAGAAAUCCGUGCUAGUGAGAUACCAUUCCAUCCUCCCGAGCACUUAGUCCUCGUCAAGCCGGUGGAUUCAAGUUUGUUACUCUUGAAACUUUGAGCUCCUAGACAGCUAGGCGUGCUCGUGAAUGCUCAGCUGAAGUUGUGAGCAUCACGGGAAGUUUGUAAUCAUCUCUCCUCUUGGAGGAACUUAUAGUAAGUGACCUUGGGUGUGAGCGCUGGUCUCACCCUUGGGUGAGGAGCGUAGAAGUUCUUGAGCACCGUCUCUUGAACUCUUCCUCAACGGAGACGUAGCUCCUUUGGGAGUGAACUUUGGGAAAUAAAUCUCUAUCUCUCUA